ACGCGAAAGUGGAGCAAUCCAUGAGUAGAGUGGCAAACGGGUGAGUAACACGUGGGUGACCUGCCUUCGAGUGGGGGAUAACGUCCCGAAAGGGACGCUAAUACCGCAUAACAUGCUGUCUUUUAAGAGAGAGACAUCAAAGCCGGGGACCGCAAGGCCUGGCGCUUGAAGAGGGGCCCGCGCCUGAUUAGCUAGUUGGUGGGGUAAUGGCUCACCAAGGCAACGAUCAGUAUCCGGCCUGAGAGGGCGGACGGACACACUGGGACUGAGACACGGCCCAGACUCCUACGGGAGGCAGCAGUGGGGAAUUGUUCGCAAUGGGCGCAAGCCUGACGACGCAACGCCGCGUGGAGGAUGAAGACCUUCGGGUCGUAAACUCCUUUCGAUCGAGACGAAUGGCCUCCGGGCUAACAUCCUGGAGGAGUGACGGUACCGAGAGAAGAAGCCCCGGCUAACUCCGUGCCAGCAGCCGCGGUAAUACGGGGGGGGCAAGCGUUGUUCGGAAUUACUGGGCGUAAAGGGCUCGUAGGCGGCCAACUAAGUCAUACGUGAAAUCCCUCGGCUUAACCGGGGAACUGCGUCUGAUACUGGAUGGCUUGAGUUCGGGAGAGGGAUGCGGAAUUCCAGGUGUAGCGGUGAAAUGCGUAGAUAUCUGGAGGAACACCGGUGGCGAAGGCGGCAUCCUGGACCGAUACUGACGCUGAGGAGCG
rnacentral:rRNA from 1 species